AUACAAACUGAAUCCCUUACAAUACUCACACGACGACGCAUCUCAAACACACGCGCGCACACAGGAUGAGAGAGAACUCUCGCUCUCGCUCUCCCUCCCCUCUCUCUCUCUCGCUUUCUCUCUCUCUCUCUCUCUCUCUUCCUCUCUCUCUCUCGCUCUCUUUUACAUAAUGAAGCCUCAUGCACAUAGAGCAAGAGGCUUCACACACACAUACUCAACUAUCUCUCCAUCACUGGUAUUUCCCACACUGUUUCAUUUUUGCAUCCAAACCCUAACAUAACACUAGCGAGUACUGAGAUUGUCACCAGCACCACCACCACCACCACCACCACCACUACUACUACUACUACUACUGUUAAUAUAAUAGUAGUAUUAUCAUCAGCAUCAUCAGCACCACCUUAAUAUUGCAUUUGUUCCUCAACAUAGGAAUUGUUCUCCUAUAUUCUGUCACAGGAGUGAAGAGAAGCAAGAAACAUGAAGUCUUGGAGAAUAUUAUGUUUCGUUAUAUUGUUGAUCACGAUUACUGCAGCAGAUGAUCAGUCGCGGUGCUGUAUGAAAGGUGUAAAAAGAAUGAGAAAAGCUGUGUUCUGUUCUGAACCAUGUUGUUCAGGCUAUAUUGAACGCGUUGAAAAUCCUCCACUGCUGGGUCUUGUGGUCUUCUGCGAGAAGUUGGAGGUCUAACAUGUGGAAUAUGCGUUACCUUAAUAGUUCUGUUCAUAGCCAUGGCUGUCGUUGUAUAUAAACCGUACCAUGGUUCUGACAUGUCAACAUCUCGAAUUCCUCACAGAUCAAUGGAACCUCUAGCAACUUUCGUUAACACUGUAUUUAAUCUGAAUAAUUCACUCUAACCUUGGUAAUCUUCACAGCUGUCAUAGAUGACUAGCACCAAUAAUUAUUAUACAUUCUAUACACACUGAAGCAAUAAACAAUGUAGAGUAGUGAGUUGGCUCUGAGUUAAACACUCAACAGUUCAAAAUUGUGUUCCCAUCAUUUCCUUAAUGUACUUCGUUGCCAUUAUGCAAAAGUGUCGUAAGUCCAAAACGUUGCUUUGUCAGAAAACGAAAAACUAGUUUCACCUUUCAAUGGCAAAACCGUUGUACUACACUUUGAUAAUUUUUGAUAUCUUGGCAUCUGAAGCAGCUGGAGAUACGAUAGUUUGACCCAAAAGAACCGGCUAUUGCAAGCAAAAAUAACUAUUGAAAAAAACGCAUUUGGCCAAAUUUGGACAUACGACAGUUUAACAUAAUAGCAACGAUUUAAUAUUUGAGGGAGAUGCAUAGACAUCACAAUUCUCAUUUCUAAUUUUUUUCAAUAAUAUUAUUUCAAACAAGUUCUUCAUAUGAUCACCAUCAUAUAUUAUGUUAUGGGUUACGUCUAGAAAUCAAUGAACUAUUGAAAUAAAUAAAAACAAAUAGCAACAAGCAGAUAUACAGGUAGGCAGAUAGAAACUGACAGACAGUGACUAACUACAUUCUGUCAUGUAUGCAUGUACUUUAUUCAGCAAUUUAAUCAUAUCUAAUAAAUGUCUAAUAGACAAAAGAA